rnacentral:rRNA from 1 species
UACAGAGGGCUCAAGCGUUGUUCGGAUUCAUUGGGCGUAAAGGGCGCGUAGGUGGCGCGAUAAGCCGGGUGUGAAAUCUCGGAGCUUAACUCCGAAAUUGCAUUCGAUACUGCCGUGCUCGAGGACUGGAGAGGAGACUGGAAUUCAUGGUGUAGCAGUGAAAUGCGUAGAGAUCAUGAGGAAGACCAGUGGCGAAGGCGGGUCUCUGGACAGUUCCUGACACUGAGGCACGAAGGCCAGGGGAGCAAACGGG